ACAGGAUUAGAUACCCUGGUAGUCCACGCCGUAAACGAUGUCGACUUGGAGGUUGUGCCCUUGAGGCGUGGCUUCCGGAGCUAACGCGUUAAGUCGACCGCCUGGGGAGUACGGCCGCAAGGUUAAAACUCAAAUGAAUUGACGGGGGCCCGCACAAGCGGUGGAGCAUGUGGUUUAAUUCGAUGCAACGCGAAGAACCUUACCUGGUCUUGACAUCCACAGAACUUUCCAGAGAUGGAUUGGUGCCUUCGGGAACUGUGAGACAGGUGCUGCAUGGCUGUCGUCAGCUCGUGUUGUGAAAUGUUGGGUUAAGUCCCGCAACGAGCGCAACCCUUAUCCUUUGUUGCCAGCGGUCCGGCCGGGAACUCAAAGGAGACUGCCAGUGAUAAACUGGAGGAAGGUGGGGAUGACGUCAAGUCAUCAUGGCCCUUACGACCAGGGCUACACACGUGCUACAAUGGCGCAUACAAAGAGAAGCGACCUCGCGAGAGCAAGCGGACCUCAUAAAGUGCGUCGUAGUCCGGAUUGGAGUCUGCAACUCGACUCCAUGAAGUCGGAAUCGCUAGUAAUCGUGGAUCAGAAUGCCACGGUGAAUACGUUCCCGGGCCUUGUACACACCGCCCGUCACACCAUGGGAGUGGGUUGCAAAAGAAGUAGGUAGCUUAACCUUCGGGAGGGCGCUUACCACUUUGUGAUUCAUGACUGGGGUGAAGUCGUAACAAGGUAACCGUAGGGGAACCUGCGGUUG
rnacentral:rRNA from 1 species